GCGCUCGUGGUUUAACGGUAAGGUCCAGGUUUAGUUUCGGUGCUAAGGUCCAGGUUUGAGUCCUGGCGAGCGCA
rnacentral:tRNA from 1 species